CGAUUCCCCCGCGGUGAAAAGAGGCCACCCAUCUCCUCCCAAUUCCCAGCCGCCGCCGCCACCACAUCCUCUCUCCUCCCCUGACGUCUCCUUUUUCCCCUCCUCUCCUCGCAACGGCCUCCUCCUUCCUGCACCGCCUCUUCCUCUCUUGCUGAUGGCGCCACCCGCCGGUCGAUGCCUCCUGUCUUGCCCUUUCCAUUGGGAGGUGGAGAUGGGAAGAUGGCGUUGGAGGAGGAAAACGAGAUCCAGGCAGUGGAAAGAUGGCGUUGGAGGAGGGAGCACGGGUGGGCGCCGCAGCUGAAGCACGAGUGGCCUGGUUGUGGCGGAGCAUGGCGGGAGUCCGGGCGGCGUCGUGGUCGUGGUCAAGAGGAGAAGCACGGGUGGCCGCCGUAGCUGAGCUUCUAUGUAACAUAGUUCCGAUGAAUCCUCUGCCGCAUCUGGCCUCUGCAGAUUCGUUUUUGUAUCUACCUAUAAGGCGUUCGAUGAAAAUCCAAGCUGCUGCAGUGGCAGAUUACGCCGUCCGCUUGCAUGCUGAGCCAUGUUGCGCUCUCCUGUUCUUUUUUGUUGGCUUGACGUACGCACUGGCAACCUCUUAUGUGAGGGCUUCAGCAUGCCUCUAUUUGAGAGAAAAGAUAUGGAGAAGCGGAUUUUCAGAGUGUCUCAGGCACACAAGCUAAAGGUUCACCAAGUUCAGGGAAAGAAAAGUUUCCCUAGACAGGUGGCGGCGGCGGUCAAGACAAGUGCGGCGUUGUGAGCAACGGCCCUCGAUCGUCUUCCUUGUGGAUUCAGGUACACGUCGUCCAUCUUGGCCCAUCGUGGGUGUUGGCGGGCGACCAGAGGCGGCUACAGCAGGCCAGUGUCUGUGAUCAAGACUGACACCGGGAAGGCUGCCGGUCUACAGUUGUGCGCUCGAUUCAAAUGAUUAUUCUCCGUUCUUUUCCUCAGAACUACAUAUGAGAGGUACAAUGGAUUGGCCAAGAUACUCAAUUAAGCUAUUCGAUUUAAGGUAUACUUGUAUCCCUUCCUUCUAUCCUUUUUGUUCAUCUUCUCAUGUGUAUUGUUAGCUUUUUCCCAAGCUUUUUUUAUCUAGAAUCUCAAAUAUAAGUAUAUUUUGCUGAUUAGUGAGUAAAUCAACCGGCAAUAGUUGGUAUAUAUUUGUUGUAGGUUUGAUGUCACCUAUUAAUUCUUUUUUUUGAGAUGCUCUAUUUUUACAAUGCAGAAUUUGUUUCUUCAUAACUAUAUUACCGCUUACAUUGCUGGCAAUGGAAACUAAAGAAAAUACUAUGGUCUAUCUAUGCUACAGCUGUUUAGCUAAUUGGAUCUGGUCUCCUUGAGCGGAUGUUUAUUUGCUUACUCAUUUCUGCUCUUCUUCCUGUAUGUGAAGUGAUACAAUUGUAUUCCAUUGGUGUCAACUUACUUUUCGUGAACUAAUUCUGUAAUGAGUACACAUUGGUCUCUCCAGAGGUCCUCUAUAUUCAUGGUAGUCUUCCCCUAUUGUUGCCUAGGUUCAUAUGCAUAUGCAUAUGUGCUUACUUUAAGGUUAUUAUUGCCCAUGUUUUGCAACUUGAGGUUCACCUUGAUCUAAUGCCAGACCGUCUACUUCAAUGAGUUGCGAGAUAGUGGCUAUUUUUUUACCAGAGUCAUUUGAAAUGAGAAAGAUCUGCAUCAUACGUUGGCCAGAGAUAGUUAGUGUUUUGCACAAUAUAUAAUCGUCAGAGUCAUUUGAAAUGGGAAACAUUUAAUUAGUGAUAAAUGUUUUCUGCUCACUUCCGCUUCACGGCUGCAUUGAGGACAUGAAUUGGUAGCUAGAGUACUAUACUAGAUUUGGUGCAAAUUGACAUGUAUUUAACAGUCUGUUGCUUUAACGCUAGAUAAUGGAUGCAUUUUGAUGGAUCACAGCAUGCUCUAUGGUGUUGUGGAUCACCUGGAUAUCUUCUGAUAUUCAUCUUUCCAUGCUGCAACAAGGAGGGUGUAUGAGCUUAGAGAGUUAGUGUCCUUUCUCGUGACUGUUCAAAUAAGGUGUUUUUUUUUGUGAUCACAAAUUUGAUCAUAUAGUGUCCUAUAUGAUUCAUGUUUCUUAUUUAAUUACAAGUGAUGAAGACAUAUGUUGCAGCUGAAAUGAUUGCCCUUGCAUCGUGCUAAUUAAAUCACAUCUGCAUUUUGAUAAUCCCAGAAUCUGAUUAUUAGGCAUAGAAGUGAGAAAACUUCCACGAUGAAGUGACUGCUUCACAUGCACAUGGCUUGCCUGAUAUAAUCACGACCCCUGUUCAAGAAUUCAUCUGAUUAACCAGUUAACUUGCUGCUUAAUCCCUACUCGUAGGGUCACCGAGUAGCCAGUUAACUGAUUAAUCGCUUGAGUAAUUGAUUAAAUGGCCGAUUAACUUGCCGAUUAGCCUAUUAAUCCCCUACUCGUCAGCUAACCGAGCAGCUACCAGUUAAUGAUUUCCUCAACAAUGAUCACGACCUUCGUGUGUGAUCUGGAGAGGCCUGAGAUAGUUCAGGGUCUUGAACAUGGGCAAAAGCAGUCGACAUGACUGAUAUUACCGUACGAGUGCAUCAGAUGAAGCUUCUUGAUUACCUGCAGAAAAUCAGCACCGGGCAGGUGUUCGGGACUGUCGUUGCUGUUGUCCACACCGUGGAGUUCCAAAAGAGGGGUCUGCCCCAUGCACUUAUCCUUGUUUGGCAGCAGAAGAACAGUGCCCAGGGAUCUAAACUGACUGAUGUUGAUGAUGGUACUCCUGCCACUGCACUUGCUAAGACCAUGGAAACUACACUUGCUCAGCCACCAGACUUAAAAUGGGUGCUGUUGCUACUACAAAGACCGGUUCAUCAAAAAAAAAUUAGUAGCUGAUCCAUGCUUGGGGAUAAGCAUGCGUGGUUGAUUUGUAUAUAGAAGCUUGAUGCCUUGACCCUCGCUACUUCCACCCUCACUGCUAAGGGCGCCGUCCACAAGAACAAGUGAAGACUGCUUCAUCGUCGCUGUUUUCAAGACCUUAUCUUUGCACCCUUUUGAACAAACUACUGCUGUGUUGCUGCCGUGUUCACAAAUGAGGUCUUUGGCGCUCAUAGAGUCAUGCCAAACAUUUGUUGAUGCAUUUCCCUGUUUAAGAUCCGAACUAAGCUACUUCCAUGUCUUAUAAAUGCCAUCGUUUGCCUUUUGAACGAUGCUAUGUUGCUUUUCCAACACUGCGGUUAUGCCCC